GACGAACGCCUGGCGGUGUGCCUAAUACAUGCAAAGUCGAACGAGAGCGACCGGUGCUUGCACUGUCAAUCUAGUGGCGAACGGGUGAGUAACCGUGGGUAACCUGCCCAUCAGAGGGGGAUAACAUUCGGAAACGGAUGCUAAAACCGCAUAGGUCUUCGACCGCAUGCCUUAAGAGGAAAAAGAGGCGCAAGCUUCUGCUGAUGAAUGGCCCCGCGGUGCAUUUAGCUAGUUGGUGAGGUAACGGCUCACCAAGGCCCGUGAUGCAUAGCCGACCUGAGAGGGUGAUCGGGCCACAUUGGGACUGAGACACGGCCCAAACUCCUACGGGAGGCAGCAGUAGGGGUAUCUUCCGCAAUGGACGCAAGUCUGACGGAGCAACGCCGCGUGAGUGAAGAAGGUUUUCGGAUCGUAAAACUCUGUUGUUAGAGAAGAACAAGUGCUAGAGUAACUGUUAGCGCCUUGACGGUAUCUAACCAGAAAGCCACGGCUAACUACGUGCCAGCAGCCGCGGUAAUACGUAGGUGGCAAGCGUUGUCCGGAUUUAUUGGGCGUAAAGCGAGCGCAGGCGGUUCCUUAAGUCUGAUGUGAAAGCCCCCGGCUCAACCGGGGAGGGUCAUUGGAAACUGGGGAACUUGAGUGCAGAAGAGGAGAGUGGAAUUCCAUGUGUAGCGGUGAAAUGCGUAGAUAUAUGGAGGAACACCAGUGGCGAAGGCGACUCUCUGGUCUGUAACUGACGCUGAGGCUCGAAAGCGUGGGUAGCAAACAGG
rnacentral:rRNA from 1 species